CUUCUGGGAUCCAGUCUGCUGAUGCCAGGUGGAACCUGACUUCUGCCUUAGUAUUCACUGAGAAGAAAAACAGGACCUUUUUCAACGUAAUGGCUUGACUUCCUAAGAUUUAUGAGGGCCGCUGCUCCGGCUGUAGGAUACAGUCAGUCGGUCUGGAAGAGAAGAGCAGCGACGUGAGGAGGAGGGACAUGGACCGGACCCGUCAGCGCAGUGGGAAGAACAGGGGUACCCCAAAACACUGCGUGUGGGGCUGAAGGAAGCCUGUUACUCGGCGGUGUGUCUGCUUCACGCUUAGCUCUGCAUGUUGCGUGCAGGCUGUUUUUGGGGUUGGAAACAGAGCAGUCUGUUUAAUUACCUUUUAUGCAUGUUUCUAUUCUACGUUGUAAGGAUGGUAAAAAUGGGUAAUUUCCUGAUGCUCUUAAAGCCCGUGUGGGAGCCCACAACCAACCCUGCCCCCUCUGAGCCACACUGCAGCUUCCCCAUGCAACAACCACCUCAGCCCACAACCACGGGCACCCCCCCACACCACCGGGCACCCCCAGCUCCCACCAACGACCGC